rnacentral:rRNA from 1 species
AAUGCCGCGUGAGUGAAGAAGGCCUUCGGGUUGUAAACUGCUUUUGUCAGGGAAGAAAUCUUCUGGGUUAAUACCUCNGGGAGGAUGACGGUACCUGAAGAAUAAGCACCGGCUAACUACGUGCCAGCAGCCGCGGUAAUACGUAGGGUGCGAGCGUUAAUCGGAAUUACUGGGCGUAAAGCGUGCGCAGGCGGCUUUGCAAGACAGAGGUGAAAUCCCCGGGCUCAACCUGGGAACUGCCUUUGUGACUGCAAGGCUAGAGUACGGCAGAGGGGGAUGGAAUUCCGCGUGUAGCAGUGAAAUGCGUAGAUAUGCGGAGGAACACCAAUGGCGAAGGCAAUCCCCUGGGCCUGUACUGACGCUCAUGCACGAAAGCGUGGGGAGCAAACAGGAUUAGAUACCCUGGUAGUCCACGCCCUAAACGAUGUCAACUGGUUGUUGGACGGCUUGCUGUUCAGUAACGAAGCUAACGCGUGAAGUUGACCGCCUGGGGAGUACGGGCGCAAGGUUUGAAACUCAAAGGAAUUGACGGGGAACCGCACAAGCGGUGGAUGAUG